UAGGGAAUCUUCGGCAAUGGGCGGAAGUCUGACCGAGCAACGCCGCGUGAGUGAAGAAGGUUUUCGGAUUGUAAAGCUCUGUUGUAAGAGAAGAACGAGUGUGAGAGUGGAAAAUUCACACUGUGCGGGUAUCUUACCAGAAAGGGAGGCUAAAUUCGGUCCCGCCACCGCGGGUAAUAGGUGGGUCCAAGCGUUAUUCGGGAUUUNGGGGGUAAAAGCGAGCGCAGGCGGUUAGAUAAGUCUGAAGUUAAAGGCUGUNUUUAACCAUAGUACGCUUUGGAAACUGUUUAACUUGAGUGCAGAAGGGGAGAGUGGAAUUCCAUGUGUAGCGGUGAAAUGCGUAGAUAUAUGGAGGAACACCGGUGGCGAA
rnacentral:rRNA from 1 species